rnacentral:rRNA from 1 species
AUCUGCGACUAAGCGUACACGGUGGAUGCCCUGGCAGUCAGAGGCGAUGAAGGACGUGCUAAUCUGCGAUAAGCGUCGGUAAGGUGAUAUGAACCGUUAUAACCGGCGAUUUCCGAAUGGGGAAACCCAGUGUGUUUCGACACACUAUCAUUAACUGAAUCCAUAGGUUAAUGAGGCGAACCGGGGGAACUGAAACAUCUAAGUACCCCGAGGAAAAGAAAUCAACCGAGAUUCCCCCAGUAGCGGCGAGCGAACGGGGAGCAGCCCAGAGCCUGAAUCAGUGUGUGUGUUAGUGGAAGCGUCUGGAAAGGCGCGCGAUACAGGGUGACAGCCCCGUACACAAAAAUGCACAUGCUGUGAGCUCGAUGAGUAGGGCGGGACACGUGGUAUCCUGUCUGAAUAUGGGGGGACCAUCCUCCAAGGCUAAAUACUCCUGACUGACCGAUAGUGAACCAGUACCGUGAGGGAAAGGCGAAAAGAACCCCGGCGAGGGGAGUGAAAAAGAACCUGAAACCGUGUACGUACAAGCAGUGGGAGCACGCUUAGGCGUGUGACUGCGUACCUUUUGUAUAAUGGGUCAGCGACUUAUAUUCUGUAGCAAGGUUAACCGAAUAGGGGAGCCGAAGGGAAACCGAGUCUUAACUGGGCGUUAAGUUGCAGGGUAUAGACCCGAAACCCGGUGAUCUAGCCAUGGGCAGGUUGAAGGUUGGGUAACACUAACUGGAGGACCGAACCGACUAAUCUUGAAAAAUUAGCGGAUGACUUGUGGCUGGGGGUGAAAGGCCAAUCAAACCGGGAGAUAGCUGGUUCUCCCCGAAAGCUAUUUAGGUAGCGCCUCGUGAAUUCAUCUCCGGGGGUAGAGCACUGUUUCGGCAAGGGGGUCAUCCCGACUUACCAACCCGAUGCAAACUGCGAAUACCGGAGAAUGUUAUCACGGGAGACACACGGCGGGUGCUAACGUCCGUCGUGAAGAGGGAAACAACCCAGACCGCCAGCUAAGGUCCCAAAGUCAUGGUUAAGUGGGAAACGAUGUGGGAAGGCCCAGACAGCCAGGAUGUUGGCUUAGAAGCAGCCAUCAUUUAAAGAAAGCGUAAUAGCUCACUGGUCGAGUCGGCCUGCGCGGAAGAUGUAACGGGGCUAAACCAUGCACCGAAGCUGCGGCAGCGACGCUUAUGCGUUGUUGGGUAGGGGAGCGUUCUGUAAGCCUGCGAAGGUGUGCUGUGAGGCAUGCUGGAGGUAUCAGAAGUGCGAAUGCUGACAUAAGUAACGAUAAAGCGGGUGAAAAGCCCGCUCGCCGGAAGACCAAGGGUUCCUGUCCAACGUUAAUCGGGGCAGGGUGAGUCGACCCCUAAGGCGAGGCCGAAAGGCGUAGUCGAUGGGAAACAGGUUAAUAUUCCUGUACUUGGUGUUACUGCGAAGGGGGGACGGAGAAGGCUAUGUUGGCCGGGCGACGGUUGUCCCGGUUUAAGCGUGUAGGCUGGUUUUCCAGGCAAAUCCGGAAAAUCAAGGCUGAGGCGUGAUGACGAGGCACUACGGUGCUGAAGCAACAAAUGCCCUGCUUCCAGGAAAAGCCUCUAAGCAUCAGGUAACAUCAAAUCGUACCCCAAACCGACACAGGUGGUCAGGUAGAGAAUACCAAGGCGCUUGAGAGAACUCGGGUGAAGGAACUAGGCAAAAUGGUGCCGUAACUUCGGGAGAAGGCACGCUGAUAUGUAGGUGAAGCGACUUGCUCGUGGAGCUGAAAUCAGUCGAAGAUACCAGCUGGCUGCAACUGUUUAUUAAAAACACAGCACUGUGCAAACACGAAAGUGGACGUAUACGGUGUGACGCCUGCCCGGUGCCGGAAGGUUAAUUGAUGGGGUUAGCGCAAGCGAAGCUCUUGAUCGAAGCCCCGGUAAACGGCGGCCGUAACUAUAACGGUCCUAAGGUAGCGAAAUUCCUUGUCGGGUAAGUUCCGACCUGCACGAAUGGCGUAAUGAUGGCCAGGCUGUCUCCACCCGAGACUCAGUGAAAUUGAACUCGCUGUGAAGAUGCAGUGUACCCGCGGCAAGACGGAAAGACCCCGUGAACCUUUACUAUAGCUUGACACUGAACAUUGAGCCUUGAUGUGUAGGAUAGGUGGGAGGCUUUGAAGUGUGGACGCCAGUCUGCAUGGAGCCGACCUUGAAAUACCACCCUUUAAUGUUUGAUGUUCUAACGUUGACCCGUAAUCCGGGUUGCGGACAGUGUCUGGUGGGUAGUUUGACUGGGGCGGUCUCCUCCUAAAGAGUAACGGAGGAGCACGAAGGUUGGCUAAUCCUGGUCGGACAUCAGGAGGUUAGUGCAAUGGCAUAAGCCAGCUUGACUGCGAGCGUGACGGCGCGAGCAGGUGCGAAAGCAGGUCAUAGUGAUCCGGUGGUUCUGAAUGGAAGGGCCAUCGCUCAACGGAUAAAAGGUACUCCGGGGAUAACAGGCUGAUACCGCCCAAGAGUUCAUAUCGACGGCGGUGUUUGGCACCUCGAUGUCGGCUCAUCACAUCCUGGGGCUGAAGUAGGUCCCAAGGGUAUGGCUGUUCGCCAUUUAAAGUGGUACGCGAGCUGGGUUUAGAACGUCGUGAGACAGUUCGGUCCCUAUCUGCCGUGGGCGCUGGAGAACUGAGGGGGGCUGCUCCUAGUACGAGAGGACCGGAGUGGACGCAUCACUGGUGUUCGGGUUGUCAUGCCAAUGGCACUGCCCGGUAGCUAAAUGCGGAAGAGAUAAGUGCUGAAAGCAUCUAAGCACGAAACUUGCCCCGAGAUGAGUUCUCCCUGACUCCUUGAGAGUCCUGAAGGAACGUUGAAGACGACGACGUUGAUAGGCCGGGUGUGUAAGCGCAGCGAUGCGUUGAGCUAACCGGUACUAAUGAAC